GACGAACCGUGCAAACGUUAUUCGGAAUCACUGGGCCUAAAGGGCGCGUAGGCGGCUUCACAAGUCAGGGGUGAAAUCCGGCAGCUUAACUGUCGCAGUGCCUUUGAUACUGUGAAGCUCGAGGGAGGUAGGGGUCUGUGGAACUUCCGGUGGAGCGGUGAAAUGCGUUGAUAUCGGAAGGAACGCCGGUGGCGAAAGCGACGGACUGGAUCUCUUCUGACGCUGAGGCGCGAAAGCCAGGGGAGCAAACGGG
rnacentral:rRNA from 1 species